CCCUUAGAUGUUCUGGGCCGCACGCGCGCUACACUGAUGCAUUCAACGAGUCUAAAACCUGGUCUGAUAGGGCUGGGUAAUCUUUUGAAUGUGCAUCGUGAUUGGGAUAGAUGAUUGCAAUUCUUCAUCUUCAACGAGGAAUGCCUAGUAAACGCAAGUCAUCAGCUUGCAUUGAUUACGUCCCUGCCCUUUGUACACACCGCCCGUCGCUCCUACCGAUUGAAUGAUCCGAUGAAUAUCAUGGAUUGAGGAUGCAAGUAGGUUCACCUAUCUUCAUCUUCGAGAAGUGAAGUAAAUCUUAUCAUUUAGAGGAAGGAGAAGUCGUAACA
rnacentral:rRNA from 1 species